rnacentral:rRNA from 1 species
AUACGGAGGGGGCUAGCGUUGUUCGGAAUUACUGGGCGUAAAGCGCACGUAGGCGGAUUAAAAAGUUAGAGGUGAAAUCCCAGGGCUUAACCCUGGAACUGCCUUUAAAACUAGUAGUCUAGAGUUCGAGAGAGGUGAGUGGAAUUCCAAGUGUAGAGGUGAAAUUCGUAGAUAUUUGGAGGAACACCAGUGGCGAAGGCGGCUCACUGGCUCGAUACUGACGCUGAGGUGCAAAAGCGUGGGGAGCAAACAGGAUUAGAAACCCUAGUAGUCC